AAUUGCCUGUUUAUUUAGUGGCACCAGUUUUGCAAACUAGAAAUUAUUUCUACUUUUCAUCUAACAUACAAUCUGCAACCAUUAGCAGGCUGAAUGCAAUUUUUCAAUGAACUUGAAAAUAAACAGUACAUUCUUAAAGUUAGAACUGAAUUCACAUAUUUUCUUUGGACCAGGAAAUAAUACAUAAUACAAAAUAUACAUUUAUGGAAUUUCUUUAAAAGUGUGGAUCACAUAAACUGCAAAGUGGGUGAGUUGCUAUGAAGAAUUUUGUUACACACUGUAGUUAAGAAAAAUAUUUCUGCAAUUAUAUUAGUCUUAACAUUUAUAGAGUUUAAAAAAUGAAUCUCUAUAUAAUGCAACAUGCUUUUAACAUGUACAUGUCUCUCCACUCAUAACGUUUAUACAAAUUAAGUGAUAUAACUCAUUUCAAGAGUGAAAUCAAUCAGUAUUGGGGCAUAUCACUACAAACAAGGUACUUUCCUGCAGAUAUGCUAUUUAGUCAAGGGAUAACCAGGUAAGACAAUGGUUUCUAUGUUCCAGAAGUCCCACAAAUGCCAAUAAGCUGUAAUUAAACAUCUGAUUUUGGCAACAAAUGCAAAAUUCUGUUUGUUACAUUGUACUUAACUAUAUUUUAGGAAUCUCAUUAACUCUGUGCAUUGGUGGUGGUUGUCUGUGUUGGAUGUUAUUUUAACAUCCUGAAUUAGUACGUAAAUAACCUAAUUCCUUAGAAUAUGAAAUGAAUUAAACAUUUAAUGAAUUCUAAUACUAGAAAGCUCAAAACCUUACAACCUGGAGAUCUGACAGGUAAAUGUAUUACUUGUUAACAUAGUAUAUCUGCACUAUGAAGGCCAAAAAUGUUCCAGAUACAUUCAAUUUCUGUUUUCUCUCUUUCCUAUUGAAUUUCUAAAGUGGCAAAUCUUAGAGAAAGACAUUAAUCUCCAAAACUUCUGAAUACUAUGUUUUUUUCACCUUUUAAUCACUCUCCCCCCAAAUAUAGUAUUUUUUAAAAAGUGUAUUUUAAUGUCAGAUUCUAGCCAGGCCCUCCAUCUACCUCUAGAGUGAAACAAUUCCUUAAAAUACACUCAAGUUAUUUUCAUGCCCUUGAAAUAUAUUUUUGGGCUUUGCAGGAAAAGGGAUGAUGCCCUACUGUACUUCAGAAUGGGCUCUUAACCAUGGGGUCCAUGAACCACUACAAUAUUGUAAACUUUAGUGAGAUAUGUAUGUUAUAUAUGCAUUUUCCUGGGUAAAGGAGUCCCUAGGAUUCAUCAGUCUCACAAGGCCUGUGACCCCAAAAGAAGCAUUGCUAAAAUGAUUUUGUGUCAUUCACUGUACCUAAUUAGGAUAUAACUAAUUUUGUUCCGCAGCUACCCAAUCUCUUACAUCAAUUUAACUUACUUUAGAUAAUACCAUACAAAUGCACGUUACUAAAUAGUCUUAUACUGGAUCAGGAGGACUAUAUAAAAGAAAAAGAAAAACUCUAAACAAUUUUUCUAAACAUUUAGUUUAAUGAGAAAACAAUUAGUUGAAAACUGGGUUUUGGAGCAAUGAAAAGAAAUGAAGGGUUGGGUUUUCUAGUGAAGAAAUAUUGUAUUAAUUCUUCUCAGUUGUUUCUAUGACGAAGAAUCAGUAACUCUUAUUAAUUUCCUUGCUGGAAAAAUCAAAUUUUCUGAAGCAGCAAAGGUUGAUUCUUGUUGGUUUAUGUGACACAAUCAUUCUUAUAAAUUUACAGCCAGGUACAAGGAAGACUUUCCUAUGGCUUUUAAAACAAUUAAGAGUAAUCCUUCCCUAGCUAUCCCACUGCCAUUUCCCCAUUCCUCCAUCUCCCAAGUUUUCUCAUUUUCAGCCCAGUUUAACACAGUAUUAGCUGGCCUUGAUGAAGUAACACACUAAGCUUUCUUGCUCAAGAAAAUGGAAUUGUCCUGUUUCUGUUUGAAAAAAAGAGAAAACACCAAGAGGAAAGUAGAGGAAACGAGGGCAAUAUUUCGUGCAGGAUAAGGAAGAAAAAAAGUCAACAUUAUCAACUUAAACAAUCCUUUUUCUCCAUCUCAUAAAAAUAUAAGUUGUCAACUGCAAUUUCAAUACCAUUAUAAGUUUUUCUAAUUAGCACUCCUAUCUGCUAGUAAUAUAAAUAGGAAAACAGUGAGAGCAGAAGCCACUAUCUUAAUAUACAGAACAACUGAAAGGGAAAGAACCUGUGAACAAAAUUACAAAAUGUUCAUUUGACAAUGAACUGGAACCAAUGCCUCUCAUCAUUUCUAUUGAGCGUUUUGACUAUCAGUAAUAACUAACAUUUAACUGAGACUUAUUAUUUUGAUCAACAAAACAAUACAGUAUUAUACAUUUUGAAAAUGUAUUCUUAAAUAUUUCAAGCAUAUUCCAAGGUAAUAUACAAUUUAAAACAUAUAUAAACCAAAACACAUGGCACAUAAUUGAAGGAAGUAACACCAAAUUAGGCUUCUAAAAUUUUGAACUCUUAAGAAGGCUUCCUAAUGCCUAAAAGAAAAACUAGAAGACUAGAUACUGAAAAAAUUGUAAUCUCACUAGCAGUAUCUGUGAGCAAAAGUAUAUAAAACUCUUUAAGGUCCCUUAGAAGAAAAACCUCAAAUGAGAAACAAUUAUAUACUAAGAUAUUUACACAUAUUUUCUAAUACGAAAUCCUAAUACUGUACAAACAGCCAAGUUUGAACUAAAAGUAUAUACCAUGAAAUUCAAAAUUAAAAUAAAACAAAAAAUGGAGAAAAAAAGCAGUACCCAAUUUCAUCAGUUCUUUCAGAAAUCACAAGUUGAACUCCAAAUGAGUUUGUCCAGUAAAGAUGGGCAGUGAAAUUAUUUUAAAAUAUUAAAACAUAGUAAUAAUUUGGCUAAAAUUUGACAUUAACACUGGCAGUGUGUUACAAAAACACAGAGUUCUACCUAAAUUUAGCUAGAGAUAUUUACAUUUUUAAAUGCCUUAAACUCAAACCCCACCUACAUUUCCAUGGCUGGAGAAUUUUCAGAAAUCUAUUACCUAUUCCUCUGAGUUACUGCUGUCAGCAGGAAGAAUAAAGGCCAUUCGAUAAAUGCAAUCAAGCAUACUGAAUGGGCUUAAGCCUCUUCAAUCCAAUUUUAUUCUUAUGCUAAGCAAAAUUUUCUUCUGAAUGAUUUUUAACUUUGGAGAGAAGAAAAUAAACUGGAGAAGAGUUUUCAGGUGAGUAAAGGAAGUUUAUAAACAAGCUCUUUAGGGCAGAGGCCUGCCUUGAUUAGCUAAGUACCUGGUCGAUAACGGGUGGGCAAUAGCUUUUUUUUUUUUGAUGAGUGAUCCAGUUAUAAUACUAACAUACACUAGAUUAUAAAUUGUCCAAAUGUAAACUUGAAGCC
ensembl:lncRNA